rnacentral:rRNA from 1 species
GGGCCCGCACAAGCGGUGGAGCAUGUGGUUUAAUUCGAUGAUACGCGAGGAACCUUACCAGGACUUAAAUGUAAGUUGCAUGAUUCAGAAAUGAAUCUUUCUUCGGACUACUUACAAGGUGCUGCAUGGUUGUCGUCAGCUCGUGCCGUGAGGUGUCAGGUUAAGUCCUAUAACGAGCGCAACCCCCUAUCGUUAGUUGCCAUCAAGUAAAGUUGGGAACUCUAGCGAAACUGCCGGUGCAAACCGAGAGGAAGGUGGGGAUGACGUCAAAUCAUCACGGCCCUUACGUUCUGGGCUACACACGUGCUACAAUGGUCGGUACAGAAAGCAGCCACUAUGCGAAUAGGAGCGGAUCUAUAAACUAUCUC